UAUUGCCAAACCUAUGAAAGUUGAGAGGAUUACCAUGGCUGUAGUUGCACUUCAUAAUUUCCUGAUAAAGUCGGAGGCAAAACAACCAGCAUGUUCUAGACAUUAUUUACCCCAUGGUUUUGUGGACAGUGAGGACAGAAAUGGAAAAAUUUUAUUGGGCUCAUGGAGAGCCUCUGUGGAGAAUGCACAAGGCUUAAAGUCAAUUGGGAGACAAGGCUCAAAUUUUUAUAAGAAAGAUGCCUCGGAAGUACGAGAUCAAUUUAAAGAGUAUUUCAUAAAACCAGAGGGUGAAGUUCCAUGGCAGCAAAAUCAUAUAUCUUUUAAUGAGAACCUUGAAUGACUAUGAUUUAUUCUUUCAACAUUCUUUUCCUUAUUGCAUGGGUAUUUUUCAUUCUUACAAGUUUAACUAUUGCUAAUGUAAACUCAGUUUUUUUUUAAGGCAAGUGACAUUUUAAGUAAAUUUUAUUAAAUUAGAUGUAGUUUAUGUUAAUAUAGUUUGGAAAAAACCUUGUCUUGUUUCUUAAAACCAAAGCUGAAAGCAAAUAUAUAGAAUAUAACAUGUACAAACAGUAAAACAGCUCUCUUUUACAAUUACAUAAUCAUUUACAAAGAAA